UUUGUUUCUUUUUUCAGCUAUCAUAAAAGGACUAUGGAUAUUUCUGAUAUAAGCCCUAGAAGUUGCCAAGAUAAUUUCCAAAUUAGUUUCAACAUUAUACAUUCACCAGAAAUGUAUGAGAGUUCCAGCUCUUCCAUAUCCUGGCCAAAUUUGUCACUCUUGAAACCCAGCUGCCAUGCUAUGAGUAAGUCCAAUUAGCAAAAGUCCCUGAUAGAGAGGAUUUGAGGCCUGCUGACAGCCUUGACUGAGAUUUCAGCCAACACCCAAUAUCAAUUUUGCUAACCGGGAAUGAUCUUACAUCCAUGGAUGUGACUGUCUGAGCAAGUGGAAGAAGCCAUGGUAUAACACAGAUUAAAUUAUCUCAGUGAUGAUGGUAAUCAUUUCCAAAAGAAGGUAGUGGUCCUCUUCCCUGAACUGUAAGAACUGUGAUUUCAUGCACUCCAAGUUGAGAACCCCUGCAGGAUCCUGAGUUGACUAAAUCCUAAUCAGUACGGCAGUCAAAGAUUCCGUAGUGCCUGGCCAUUGUAUGGAAAGAUCAGUCUUCUCAAGGUUAUUAAAAUCUCCCAUAAUAUAUUCACUGUGUACUUACAUGAAUACAAUGAUGUCAACUAAAAUACAAUUUAUUUCAAAUUUUUAAUUUUGUGUUGUCUAUUAAGUAUGCUUACAUUUUUAUGUCAACAUGGUUUCACUUUUUAUGUUAGAAAAUGCUAAGCAAUAAAUGCUACAGCUGAAUGUUGAAAGGUAUUAGUGUUGCUUGAAGCUCACCAAAUAAACACCCAGAUACUCCACGGGUAUAGCCCAGUCCUGACCUUCAGUGGAUAGGAAACUAUUCAGUGAAAUGUAAUGCACAGUACUGGAUUAUGGUCAGUGGAAUUUUUCAAAAUAAAUUAUCCAUAUCUGUAUUACUUGAUUCGGCUUGACUCCUCUUUUAACUAAAGUAUGUUUUAACUGUUUUUUUUCUUUUUUCUUUUUUUUUUUUUUGAGACAGAGACUCCCUCUGUCGCACAGGCUGGAAUGGAGUGCAGUGGCACGAUCGCGGCUCACUGCAAGCUCCGCCUCCGGGGUUCACACCAUUCUCCUGCCUCAGCCUCCCAAGUAGCUGGGACUACAGGAGCCCGCCACUACACCCGGCUAAUUUUUUGUAUUUUUAGUGGAGACGGGGUUUCACCGGGUUAGCCAGGAUGGUCUCGAUCUCCCGACCUCGUCAUCUGCCCGCCUCAGCCUCCCAAAGUGCUGGGAUUACAGGCGUGAGCCACCACGCCCGGCCCAACUAUUUUUUAUUAAUUACUGGCAAACUCCUAUUUUCCAGCCACUUCUGUUAUUCUUAUAAAACACUUUUACACUAUUUACAAAUGUGCAUUAAUACAAAAUUAUUGGUUUAUGCGAUUUCUCAAAAAAAUUUCAUCAUGUACCUCAAAGCUUAAGGUAGUUGGAGGUUCAAGUUCCAAUUAGAACUUAGUGCAAAUCCCUUCUGCAGAUACAAGUAUAGUAAAAUAAUUAUUGCCUGGGAAUUUCAGAAACCUUUUAUAGCUCCUGCUAUUGUCUUCUUGCCAAAAUGAACUAUCUGCUCAUUUAUUCUAAAUUAGAAUUGUGCAGUUAACAAAGAUCAAGAAGAUUAAAAACAUGGUGUGAAGCCAGUUUAGCAUAACAUUUAGUAUUUCCUUUUGUAAGUACUGCUCUCCUGUGCUUAGUUAAGUAUUAUUUAAGAUACUAUUGGAUCUUUAUAGAAUGUUCCCAUGAUUAAAAUUUAAUUUUGACACUACAACAUGUACAAAGUUCUGUCAAGUAUUAUUAAUGAUUAAACAAUGAGGAAAUAUGUUAUUACAGUGUGUUCAAUCUUUAAUGUCCAUUAAAUCCACUUGGUAAGUGUAAGUGGAAAUGAUACUAACUACAAUUCUCAUUCUCUAGUCCUUUACACAUUAUAAAGAAAUGAGGAUCUUACAAUACCAAUCAAUAAGUGAUGAAAAGAAACUGUGCGUGGUGGCUGAAAUUUGAAUGGGCCUUUCACAGAAAUCUUAUUAUUCUCCUACUAGGGACAGUGCAGAACAGACAUUCCACUUCCCGCUUUGUAAGCAAAUGCCUAGGCGUGUAGCACUGUGAUUAUAUUUCUAUCUUCGGCCUUAGAUCAUCUUCAGCAUCAGAGAGUUCUGAAAAUCCCAUUAAGAAGUCAUUUCAAGGAAACAUAAAUGUUCUUUGAAAUAAUCUUCAAUGCUUUUCUAAUUUUUUAUAUUAAUGUCUCCUGCAACCCUCUUCCCAGAAUGGGUAAUAAAUCCUCUUAUAUUUAUGCACAGAGAGAUAUGUAUAUACAGUUUAUUUACUUCCUGUUUUAAUUGCUGUCCUAACUAAAUACAACACAUGUAAUGCAAAUGUUUGCCAAACUUUGUAUGGGUUGUACUUAACAUGUAUAACACUGGCAUUUUAGCUGAACUGAUCGUGACAAAGCAUUCCUGAAUAAAAAUUACUUUUUUAGAAAGGAAACAGUUCUGUUGCAAAAUCAAGUUUUUACUUUUUCUUAUGGUUUUGUAGCCUAACGAAAAAUGAAUACAUGAUGAAAUGUAUCCCAAUUUCCUUCCACUUUUAAUUGAUCUUCAUAGGCUUGAGGGAAUUUGUCUUUAUAUUCAUCUCCCAGGGAGAAUUUCCACCAAAUUAUUUGAGUGAGUUAUCAUCAUUCAACUUUGCCUGGC
rnacentral:lncRNA from 1 species